UACGAAGGGGCUAGCGUUGCUCGGAAUUACUGGGCGUAAAGCGCACGUAGGCGGAUUGUUAAGUCGGGGGUGAAAUCCUGGAGCUCAACUCCAGAACUGCCUUCGAAACUGGCGAUCUUGAGUCCGGGAGAGGUGAGUGGAACUGCGAGUGUAGAGGUGAAAUUCGUAGAUAUUCGCAAGAACACCAGUGGCGAAGGCGGCUCACUGGCCCGGUACUGACGCUGACGGUGCGAAAGCGUGGGGAGCAAAGCAGGGAUUAAG
rnacentral:rRNA from 1 species